UUGAUGUGAUGGAAGGGUUCCUACUUUGCUGGGAAUCAAGUUGCACGAUUUGAAGGGGCGUGAACGUUUUGUUUCGGAUUGUCACGUUCGAGCAGUUAUUGACGGAGGCCUUCAGAUUGCAAGUUUUGUUAGGCUUCUUAGCAGCAUUUUUUUUUUUGCCUCUUUACUACUUGAACAUGGUACUGACUUUGAAGCUACGACGGGAGCCUUCCAUUACAUACUCGAUGUGCGGUUGCGAUGCUAUAUUCAUCACUAUGCAUGCUCUGUAUUGUAAUAUGAUCGCGUAAAUAACACUCUCAGGCUGCGCCUACAGGCGAAAAAUAAGCGAAACCACAAAAAUAUCGCAUGAAAGUCGCCUCAACACCGUUCGUUGACCUUCCAAAUUGAGCGGGAAAAAAUGCUGAUGGCCCCACGUUUAGCUCAUUGAAGUGUGUCCACACCACUGUUAGGCUUGAAGGCAAUGCAAAUAAUAGCAGCAGUAGGCAGCAUACAAGUGCAGUCGCCGAAGGUAACGGCCGGACGCCUGCAGCUGAGGUCUCUCUUGUAAAAUGAUGACAGUAGAGCAGAAGUUUUAUGAUGCUGUCUCAAGGGAAGCCACAAGCGAGUAAAAAUUACCAGCAGCUCAUUGAACUUUUUAUGUCGUUCAUGACGGGCACUGCAUGCUAUUUUGAAUCUAAAAAUAUAUCUUCACACAUUAGCUAAAUGAAACUUGCAAUUUCAAGGUUAAGCAAUUUAGUACUGAAUGACUCGUUUCAGUGUUCCUGUGUGAAAUGUAAAAAGCUUAUCUGCAAAUCAUGAGUACUCGAAACCAUUGAGACCGCCAAUCCCUGUGUGAGCAGCGGGAUCUUUCCCUGAGGUAGCAUGAAGGAAGUUCUGUAGCUGCGAUCUCAUCAGCCAACUUUCUGCAUGGGAAUCCCAGUUGUCCGUAGAAGAUUGCAACAAGUACAGCCAAACCUCAUUGUAAUGAAACAGGAUAUAACGAAAUAAUGGUUAUAAUGAAAUAAGGACAAUUUCCCUUGAAAUCAUCUAAGGGAUUUGUAUUGCAGUACAUGCAGUGAUUGAAUAAACAAGUAAUUGAUUUAAGGAAGUAGUUCUGGCUCCCCCUUCAACUUCGUUACAGUGAGGUUUUACUGUAUUCCAGGGUGGAAAUCAAGCCUUUGCAGAUUGCAGGAAUGGUUGGCCUCCUAAUCAAAACAUGACUCCAGGGCCCACAACAACCUUUUUGUGGUAGGCUAGCCACAGUUCAGUUCUCAUUCCAAGUGGUAACUUUUGAAAACACCACAAAUCAGUUUUGUGUGUGUGUGGUAUGGUAAAGGUACAGUUUUUGCAGCCAUGAUUUAGGCAAAAUAAGUCUUCUAGAACUUUGGUCACUGGAGUGAUAUAUUCAAUCAAGAGGGCAUUGUAAUUGCCCCUUUUCUGCCUUUCAAGCUUACAAUUCCUUCCAAGUCUUAACCUAUUCUUUCUCUUCACUGUUUGCUUUAUUGGGAAAUAGUGUAUUGCAUUUAGUGAUGUUCUAAAAAAAGAAAAACUAAGCGGUCCCUGUACCCAUUUUAUAAACAUCUGAAUUACCAUUUUAACAAGGAAUCUUUAAAAUUUUUGGUGCAUAGAGAAUUACAGUUUCUAAAUUCUCCGUGAGAGAGCGAGAGAGCAAAUGAUAAAUUAAAGGCAGGGAGGUUAACCAGGACUGAGUCCGGUUGGCCACCCUACGCUGGGGAAAGGGAAAAGAGGAGGGAACAAAUAAAAGAAGUCCACUUGGGAUAUUGAUCGGUCACUCAGUCCGGAUCACAGACGGUGACUCAAUCCAGUAGCUUUCAAAUAUCGUAGCAGCGCUAUUGUGGCUUUUUUGUAGCUGCAAUAUGCGAGGCCAUGGUCCCAAGAUCUUGUUCAAGGUGAACAGUUUUCUAUCUGAUUUAGAGCUGUGUAGAGGUCAUGUCUUUCAUUUUCAAAAGAUGUGCGGUAGCUCAGUAGAUGUUCUAUAGUCUCCUCAACACCACAGGCAUUGCACUCGGCGCUAUCAGCCAUUCCAGUCAAACACAAAUAUGCAUUGGUGAAUGCGACGCCCAAGUGUAAGCGGAACAGCAUUGUUCACUCUUUUUUCGGAAGCCCAGGUAACAGCCGCAGCUGCAUAGAUCGGUCAAGGGAAUGCAAUCGAUGUUGGGUGAAUUCAGGUGUGUACCGCUUCUCCAAUUUCAUGCCGUGCGCUAGCUUGCUUAAGUGUUGUGCUUCGUCAGUCCCCGAUAAAAGUACAGAAUCAAGGGUUGCUCCUUCGUGUGCUUUCCUCUCAGCUUCGCCGGCGAGGUCGUUGCCGGAGCUACCGCAAUGGUCUGGCAGCCACUGAAACCUGACAUUGUGUCCUUUCGCGAUCAUAUGAUGGUGCAUUUCUCGUAUCUCCAACACUAGUUGUUCACAGGACCUGCGUCGAAGAGCUGACAAGACACUGUAAGGCCACCUUCGAGUGGCAGAAUAUUGCCCGCCAAUUAGACGGUUGGUUGUUAAUAUAAUCAAAUGGCACCUCAGACUGCAACAUGUUCCGAACUGGUCGAUGUUGUCAUGUGAGAACUCUUGUAUCAGAUGCUUAUUGAUCGUGAUGGUAUAACCAUUGCGCCAGUGGAGCUGGUUUUAUUGGAAGUGCCAUUCGUAUAUAUCUGUGGACUAAAGUAUCUGUAAAGAAGUUGCAUUUACUAAGGACCUGUGCUCUUCCGUCAUACUGAAUCACAUUUGUAUUUAUGAAAUAAACUGCAUUUUUUACUGCUCC